rnacentral:lncRNA from 13 species
AAAAAGAUCUAGUGCGCAAUUGUGCGCAGUAGUAUUUCGAUGCAAUGAAAUUUGCAUCAUCUUUUCUUGUAAAUUGCAAUAAAUCAAUAUAGUGCCUCAAAAUACUACUGCGCACAAGUAUUGCUGCAAGUUUCAACAUACAAAUACACAAAUAUUUUGAGUUAUGAAGAAUGCACUUAGUGAUAACUACUUCAAACUGUAUUCAUUCUGUACAUUUUGUUAGCGUUGCAAAGUUUAAAUUAACGAUCCGGGCAAUCAAUAAAUACGCCUGGUACGCAGAACAAUAGCCAGGUAUGGGUAUGAAACCGUUGCAAUCUGAUGGUCGAAUGCACCACAUGGGCAAGAUUCAAACAAUGCACGUUAACUCAAAUGAAUCAGAAAAUGUUCCUCCACAAAUGAAUAAAAUGGUGCCUGGACAAAUGGGACAAUUAGGUGCUGGACAGAUACAACAAAAUAUGCAGUUUCAGGUGCAGAAUCAGCUACCAGAUCAAAUAUAGGAUCAUAUUACGGGACCAAUAGUCAGUAUACAGACUAGUACUCGUAUACCGCAACAAUUGAGUCAAAUUGACUCUGGACAAUUAGGUCGUGAUCAGAUGCAGCAGCAGUUAAACCAUAUUCAAAGAAAGCCAGGUGAAAUGAUGAAUACUGGAUUUCAUAGCCCACAUAACGUUACGCCGAAUCAAUUUUUGAGACAGAAUCCAUCUCCUUCAGCUCCAAGCUUAGCUCGUUUAUUGGAUACAUUGAACUAUAUGUAUGGACCGUCUCCAAGUAAAUCGUAAAAUAAUCCUGACAGUGUAGGCGCAACACAAAGCCAUCAGCAAGAAAAUCACGUUUACAGAGAUAAAGUCAAACAGCUAAGCAAAUAAAUAGAGAAGAAUGAUUGCAAGAUGAGCAGCGAAGGAAAUGUCGACUCAGUAAGAUCAAGAAACUGUUGAAAAUUCUAUCGAAUCCCAAUAAACGUAUGCCAUUGAAUACGUUUACUGAAAUGCUAAGUUGUUUUGGAAAAAUUAAAUUUUAAGAGAGGAGAUGGCACUGUAGGACCGCCAGUAACGACGUUGAAGGAGCAUCAAAUUUUUAGUCCGUUAUUAUAAGCUGUAAGCGUACAUCUCCAAAGUAUUUGUUGUAUUUGCAGAAGCAAUAUUUUUACUUAUGUCAUUAUCACAAGGAAGGGUCAUAUUAACAUUAUUAUUGGAACUCGCAGAAGUUUUGGCUGUAGCGUUAUCAUCAUCCAAUAUACUAGAGCUAAUGUCGAAGGGAAAUAUAAGGUCACCAUUGAUAACUA